AUGGAAAGCACUUGGACAAAGCCGGUCACAGGAAAACUGCACUAUAAAUGCGGUGCUGCGGGAGGGGCCACACUUGGAGGAGCUGGAGUGCUGGGGAUGCCCACCCUGAGAAUGGACCGCAGUACCAGCCUGCUGUCACCCAACCAACUGGAACCUCACAGAAAAAGCGCAUGUCCUGGCCAAGGGGCGCCUCAGACCCCUUCUGCUGAGCCAGCACCCCCCACCCUCGCCCACAGGCAGGAAAAGAUGGGACUCCUGUGUUCCCGCUGCAGCAGAGCUGACUGGGGUCUUGGUGCUGGCCCAGUCAAUGUCUGUCCAAUGAUGGUUGCUGUGUGUGGGGUGCACCCGACAGGCUGGGCCGUGGGGUUUCCAGAACAAGGGAUGACACAGGACCGAAAGGAGGAAACUGGGCUCAAGAGCUCCACCUCUUUGACGUCUUCCCCAGCUCAGGGCAGCAGUUCCCUGGGGUUGCUUCUUUGCCCAGAGCCCGGGCUCACACCCCGCUAUCAGUAUCUCACCCGGGAGGUGUCUAGAACCUUGGAAUAAAAUGCU
ensembl:lincRNA